AGGCCCUUAAGUUAAUAAAAACUAAAAGCCUUCAAAGCUUAAAUUGGGGCAUAAGCCUCAGGACCUG
rnacentral:tRNA from 1 species